rnacentral:rRNA from 1 species
GUGCGAGAGUCUUUUGCUUGCAAGAGACGGAAAGCGGCGAAAGGGAGAGUAACGCGUGGGUAACCUACCCUUGGGACUGGGAUAGCGGCGGGAAACUGCCGGUAAUACCGGAUAACGUCCCCGGACCAAAUGGUGUGAUUCCGCCUGAGGAUGGGCCCGCGUCCUAUUAGCUUGUUGGUGGGGUAAUGGCCUACCAAGGCGAAGAUGGGUACCGGGUGUGAGAGCAUGACCCGGCUCACUGGGACUGAGACACUGCCCAGACACCUACGGGUGGCUGCAGUCGAGAAUCUUCGGCAAUGGGCGCAAGCCUGACCGAGCGACGCCGCGUGCGGGAUGAAGGCCUUCGGGUUGUAAACCGCUGUCAGAGGGGAGGAAAUGCAGGGGAGUCAUCUCCUUUGUUUGACCGAUCCUCGGAGGAAGUACGGGCUAAGUUCGUGCCAGCAGCCGCGGUAAGACGAACCGUACGAACGUUAUUCGGAAUUACUGGGCUUAAAGCGUGCGUAGGCGGCUUGGCAAGUUGGGUGUGAAAUCCCUCGGCUCAACCGAGGAAUUGCGCUCAAAACUGCCAGACUUGAGGGAGAUAGAGGUGAGCGGAACUGAUGGUGGAGCGGUGAAAUGCGUUGAUAUCAUCAGGAACACCGGAGGCGAAAGCGGCUCACUGGGUCUCUUCUGACGCUGAGGCACGAAAGCUAGGGGAGCGAACGGGAUUAGAUACCCCGGUAGUCCUAGCUGUAAACGAUGAGCACUAGGUCGGAGGACCUUCCACAGUUUUCCGGCCGUAGCGAAAGUGUUAAGUGCUCC